AUGAUGAUGCCAGGGGCAAAAGAGUGGAAAUCCGGAACAGGCUUGCCAGCAGGAGGAUUUUUGGACUUGGGACCUGCUAAAAACAUGAGUAAGAAGCCAGUAUUUAAAGAAAAAUAAGCGGAUUAGGGAUGUUUUUAGAAUUGCGGAAGUGCAAAGCAUACAGCAAUUCGGUAUCAUCU
rnacentral:sRNA from 10 species